UACGUAGGGGGCAAGCGUUGUCCGGAUUUAUUGGGCGUAAAGAGCGUGUAGGCGGCCACACAGGUCAGCUGUGAAAACUCGAGGCUCAACCUCGAGACGUCGGUUGAAACCGUAUGGCUAGAGUCCGGAAGAGGAGAGUGGAAUUCCCGGUGUAGCGGUGAAAUGCGCAGAUAUCGGGAAGAACACCCGUGGCGAAGGCGGCUCUCUGGGACGGUACUGACGCUGAGACGCGGAAAGCGUGGGGAGCGAACAGG
rnacentral:rRNA from 1 species